UUCACUAAGUUAGAGAGAGGUAGAGAGAGAAGUGAGAGGUGAAGGAAGAACAAGGGUUAGAGAAAGGGAGAAACUUGAAGAUUGAAGCAAUUAGGAGCUAAAGUGAAGCCCAAGUUUGGAUUGAUCAUAACCUAAGGUAAGGGGGUUAGUCUUCAUCAUAAUCAUAAUUGUUUGUUUGCAAUUUUUCUUGGUUUGUAUGAAAAAGUGCUUAAUUGAGUGAGAAUUCAUAUGAACCCAAUCUCUAAUUUUCGUGCUCUUGUUUUGGUGAUAAGAUUGAGUAUGUUAAUUGAAUGAUAAAUGAAUUGUUGGUGAUGAAAUAACAUGUUCAUAAUGUAUGAAAAUGAGUUGUUGUGAAAUUAUGCUUAAUUGAUGACUUAUGACAUGUUGUUGUUGAAUUAAGGUGAGAAUCAAGUUUCGAUUGAUGUUGUUGUUGCUGAGACAUGUUGUUGUUUAUGAUUUAUGGCUUGGGUGUUCAUAUAUCAUGAUUGUUUGUGAGAAAUAAGAUGUUGUUGGUGGUUUUGUGAAAUUGGUGAAGUUGAGUUAAGUGUUCAUGUGAAGGACCAAAAUGAACUUUUGAUAUAUAUGGUUGUUGAUUGAAAUUUUGUUAUUGUUGGAUGAAUUGAACCUAGGAGAAUUUCUGUUUUCAUGUUGUGGUUAUGUUAGUUGAGUUGUUUGGGAGAAAACGGAUUUUUCGUGUGAAAUGUUGAUGUUUAAGCAUUUUCGCCAAUAAGUGAUUGUGUGAGGUUUUGGAAAAUGACUUUUGGGAUGGUUGAAACAUGAAAUUUUUGUAGAUUAUGAUAGUGUCAAGUGUUAGGAGCAUGUAGGCGAAAACGGCAUCGAAAACGGAUUAACGGUUUGAUUUUUAUGCACGAAAAAGUAGAAGUUGAAUUUUUGCAUAGUCUGCUACUGUCAAAAUCAUGAAGCGAUCUUACAAAUUGUGAGGUGAUUUUGACAGAAACAAUAAAUUUUCUGCAUAGCCUGAUGUUGUCGAAUCAUGAAGCGAUUUCGCAAAUCAUGAGGCGAUUUUGACAGCAACAUCAAAUUUUUCUACCCAGUCUGAUGCUGUCAAAAUCAUGAAGCGAUCUUACGAGUCAUGAAGCGAUUUGGCAGCCUAGAAACCUUAAAAAUGCAAUUUUCUUUGAUCCAAUUGUUUCCAAACUUAUUUCUAUGUAUAGGGACUUUAUCCUAAUCAUCUAGGGAUGUUUUUAUGGAAGAAAUAGCUUCGUAUUAAGGGCUUAGUGAGUCCUUUUGUUUUCUUGACUUUAAUGAAACAUUAUGAUAUGAAUCUUUGCAAAACUUGAAUUUAAGUGAGUUGGCCUAUGAAACGUUGAUGUAUACACUACUGCACUCAUAUGUGAUUUGUGUAUAUAGAUGGUUGAGGUCCUAGAGUUUAUUUAUUUGGUUUUAGUUCAUUUGUUAUAAUCAUGUAAAAGGUGAUAUUUCGGGUGGGAAUGUGAAAAGUUGUGAAAUGGGGUUUUUCAUACGAACUUAAGUUGUUCUUGGAUUAAUGUUUAAUGGUCAGGAGGCAACUUAAAUUCAUAAAUACAUGAUUGGUUAAGGUUGUUUGAGAACUCUCAACUUGUCUAUGUUGUUUUGUCUUGGGAAUUGUCAAUGUUGGCCGUUUGCCACUUGACACGUUCUUUGGUCGGAAAUGUUUCUUGAACUAAUUGUCUUAUGAAUUGUGGUGACUAUUCUUAUAUGGCUAAGUGAAUGUAUGAAUGAAUGAUUGUAUUGGAUAUGAUAUUUAUCAUGAGAUGUUGUUUUCCCUAUUACUUGGAAUAUGAGAAUGCUUGAAUUGGUGAACUAUAUGUGAUAGUUGAUGUUGAAUGACAUUGUUGAUUAUUGAUAAUCAUGUUGAUGGGUGAUGGUGAAUAUUAUGAUUUAUUUGUGUAUGGGCAUGUUUUCUUGAUAAUGCAAUGUUGUGGAGAUAAUCAAUAUAAUUGGGUGUCGUCCUAUAUAUUGAGUUGAGAUUGUGAAUUGUUGUCGCAUUAUCGAGUCCUUAUACAUGUCCAUGCAUCAUAGUCGUUGUUGCUGUAAAAGGGAUGACUCUUUUACUUCGAGAUUAUUGUAAGGCAGGUGUGAGCCCUUACAUUCGAUGUGCAAGUGGCAUCGAAAGGUGACGACCUUGUUGAGAUUUGGUACCACAUGCAUUUAUGUGUCAAUAAGUGCAUAUCAUAGCAUGAGUCCUAUGUGAAAUAUGUGAUUGGUGAUGAAAUGAGAUGAAUGAUUAUUGAUGAUGUUUGUGAUUGAUGAUUGUGAAUGAAUAUUUGUGAAUUGAUAUUUAUUCCUGAUACAUGUGAAUGGUGAUUGUUCAUGAAAUAUGAUUAAUGAUUUGUUCAUGGCUUAUGAUUGGUGAUUGUGUAUGAAUAACUGUGAAUUAAUUAUUAUUCAUGAUACAUGUAAUUGGUGAUUUUUCAUGAAAUGUGAUUAGUGAUUAUUCAUGAUACAAGUAAUUGGUGAUUGUUCAUGAAAUGUGAUUAAUGAUUAUUCAUGAUAAAUGUGAUUGGUGAUUGUGAAUGAAUAAUUGUAAAUUGAUAAUUGUUCAUAUGAUUGAUGAAUAUUGAUGUGAGAUAUCGGGGUGUGAUGUAAGUAUUAAUGUGUAAUUAUUAUUGAUCAAGUGUAUGAUGUUUAAAUUGAAAUAUUCAUGUUAACUGUUAUUUGGAUUAUGAUAAUGUAAUACUUACCCCCAGUGGAUCUGUUAUGGACCGCCUGCCUAUCUGUAUGGAUGGGUAGACGUUGUGCAGGUUUAGUUGCUUGGUGAGUUCUUGUGCUUGGUGGAUAUCUGGAGCUUUCUCCGAUAUCGGUGUUUAGAUGUUUAGUCGGCUCUGAUCUAGGCUUUGUUGUGUCGGUCUAGAUUAUCUUUUACUUUGGAUUUUGUGAUGUUUGGAGAUUACCCGUUUGUUGGGAUUUUUGAGAUGUAUCUAUGUUGAUGUAAUUUAUUGAUUCAUAACAUGUAUACUUGGAUUUACUCUGGUUUAUAUUCCGCUGCGACUAUUGAGGUUUAUAUACAUGUUUAAUGGUUUUUUGAAUUUUGAAUGUGGCGUAGCCUCUAUUUCUUGAAUAA
rnacentral:lncRNA from 1 species